rnacentral:rRNA from 1 species
ACGGAAGGCAGCAGUGGGGAAUAUUGCGCAAUGGGGGGAACCCUGACGCAGCAAUACCGCGUGAGUGAAGAAGGUUUUCGGAUCGUAAAACUCUUUUAUCGGGGAAGAUAAUGACGGUACCCGAUGAAGAAGUCCCGGCUAACUACGUGCCAGCAGCCGCGGUAAUACGUAGGGGACAAGCGUUGUCCGGAAUGACUGGGCGUAAAGGGCGCGUAGGCGGACUGAUAAGUCUGAUGUGAAAGGUCUCGGCUCGACCGAGGACAUGCAUUGGAAACUGUCAGCCUUGAGUACUGGAGAGGCAAGUGGAAUUCCUAGUGUAGCGGUGAAAUGCGUAGAUAUUAGGAGGAACACCGGCGGCGAAGGCGGCUUGCUGGACAGAUACUGACGCUGAGGCGCGAAAGCGUGGGGAGCAAACAGGAUUAGAUACCCUGGUA